UCUAUAAUUUUAAAAAAAGUCACGUCCAUGUACCUGCGCAGAAAGCUUAUUUUUCAGCCAAUCGUAGCGCGCGUCCGUUCGCUAUUGGUUGUUGCCUACGCGCCUUAUUUUAUACGCGCGAGUUAUGAGCGAGAUAGCACGACUCUCUGUUGUUCUUGUGUUUAAAACCUUAACGUCAUGCAAUAAGGUAUGUAUUUCAUUGGUGUGCGUUCGGUUUUAGACAGUGUUUGGCAAAGCUUUUCUGCGCCAACGAAUUUUGCCGAUGCGAAUAAAUUAUAAAGUGGUAGUUUUUUGGUACUACUGUAGGCAUUCAAGAUCUUUGCAUUGUAACCCUCAUUAUUGCGAGCGAUACCGCUUCCAUUACGCCAGAUAUUCGUGAUGUUGCCAGUAUUUCUACAACUUAAGUUAAAUAAUAAGAAUUAUAAGUUAUGUCAGUAUUAGAGACAUUCCAAAGAAGUCUAAGCACAAGGAAAUUAAAGAUUGGUGGAUGAUUCAUACAUUUGCGCGCGUCAUUAAUAUAGGUAGGUACCUACUUUACCUAACUAAUGCAGUUGUUACCGUUCUUUACUUUUAGGCAAUGUAAAGAGAAAAAUAAAGGUUUUUUCAUUUAAUGAUUUAGGUAUGCAGGUUUUUUGGAAGGAUCUUGGAAAAUCAAAAAGUUCCUAAGGGAUGUUAAAAACACACACUCUAACGAAGUCGCGAGCAUUAGGUAACUAGUUAUCAAUAAUCCCUAAUUAAUCACACUAAAAAUGACACGCGCAAAUAUGUGAAUAUUCUCUAGGAUACAUCUGUUGUUUAUGGAAUAAAUACAUAUUUCUAUUAGGUAUAAUAAUAUAUAAAAUUAAUAUAAUCUGGAUCUGGAUAUAUUUGUGUAUUUGUGGCCUGGUCAGACAACGCUUGACGGCAGUCGUGCUGUCGUAAUGUUGUGCAGCACGACAGGACUUCAUAUUAAAUUCGUGAUGACGUAGCGAUGCGUUACGGCAUCAGCUUAGAAAUAUUUUUUUGUUCAAAUAAACUUUUGAAUCGCAAAGUGAAUCUACCAUUUUCGGAAUGCUCUUCCUACUGAGAAGAACCAGCAGCAAACGUGAAGAAUUAGAAAUUGCAAUAUGACGCGACGUUAUGGAGCGCUACUGCCGACAUGCGUUCACUGACUGAGGGCUUUAUUGUUAGGUAUUUUAUAAAAUUAACUGUAACAGUUGUUUUGUGUCUAUUAUUAUUACUAACACAUUUAACUAUGCCUGUCUACCUAUCACAACGUAAACCAUAGGGCUAACCGCACUUGAUUAUUUGUUCAUGAAUUUGUUACUAGUACUAAAAACCUACCUACUGGCCAAAUUUUGUGAUUCUAGGUCAACGGGAAGACAUACAACGAUGAACGAAGUGAUCCUAUAAGGGUUCCUAUUUUCCUUUUUAGGUACGGAACCCUAAAAAAUUACAAUAUGUAACAAUACAACCACCUUGGGUAGCUAAAAACUCGAAUUUCCAUUCGAAAUUUUAGUCAAAUCGGUUUAGUCAUUGUGGAGUGAAGGAGUAGGUAACCAACAUCCAAACAUUUGAUUUUUUUAAACAUUAGUAUGGAUAAAUUUUCGUCAUGAUCAUCUGUACAAUCUAGACCUAGUUGGUGACCUAUGGGCUGGAUUCCUAAUUAUUCCUAUAUUUUUUCUAGUCAUUUCGUUUAAGUUAAGAAUUUGUAGUUACGUAGGUAUCUUUGUUAGUGUAUUAGAUAUUAGUGUAGGUAAAUGUUCUAUUAUCAUUUCAAUUAAGUAGGUAAUCAAUGUUUUAAUCGAGUAGCAUAACUUCUCACCAACUAAAAUAUUAGGCAAUAUUUUUUCAGGAAUUGUUUUAUGUAUCAUUGAAAAUUAAAUUCAAUAUAUAUUUUGGCCUAGACAUUCAUAAAAUUAAAGCAUCUAUAUCAUAAUUAUGUAUAAAAUACUUUUCCAUUUUUAUAAAUGCAAAAUAAUUGAUAAUUCUAACAUUAUUCAUCUUUUUUCAUAUUCGUAGUCUAUGGUAAACACGCAUAAACGAAAUUUCUAUAUAAAUCGCUACAUAAUCGAAUUUUCAUGUGCAUUUAAGCGUUUCUACCCAUUCUAUACUCAAUCCACGGUCAGAAAAGAAGUUAGUACUUAUAGGUUUCGCUCUGAUUAUAAUCCCCUAAUACAAAUGACAGACAAAAAAACCGGCCAAGUGCGACUCGUGCACCCAGGGGUUCCGAACUCGGGUAUUUUUUUCCGGUCGGAUGGACAGACACAGACAGACAGACAACAAAGUGAUCCUAUAAGGGUUCCGUUUUUCCUUUACCAUUACCACGUCAACCAUUUGGAGUGGCCAACCAACCACAAACAUGUUUUCAAGACAUUCGAAAUUCAAUUCGAAAAUCUUUUCAAAAAACGUUGGUGAUUGGUUGGUGACUUAAAAAGAUUAAAGUCCACUAAGUUUUUUGUCUUUGUCAUUUGUAUGGGAUUACAUAACAGAGAGAGUCCUAUACUAACUUCUUUCGGUGGAUAGAGUAUAUAGGUAUACUGUUUCACUGAGACGGCUAAAGACGUGCAAAAUAAAGAAUUCAACGUCGCUUUCACCCUCUCGCAACCUGCACUACCUGUCACGAGCCGUCUCAGUCAAAUACCUACAACAAACACGAGUAUCACAGUCAAACAAUCAUACAGUUAGGCAGCGGUUUCAGUCACCAAUCACCAUCAUUAAAUAUUAUGUA